UGUUGAGAUGAGAGAAUAAAGAGUUGAUAUAUUGAGAGAGGAAGAGAUUUGGAGCAGACAGUAACUUUGGAGUUUUACUGUGGUAACUUUAGUUUAACAACAGUAACUACUUGGGGAAGUUAUCUGAUGGGAUGAGAAGGUAACUUAGUGAAGAGAAGAGAUGAGAUUCGACCAGAAAGGAUAAGGAAGGAUAAGGGAGCACUUUGACAGCCUGUAUGAUGCUGGAAAGGAGAGGAUGCUUUUACACUAGUGCAAGCAUGUGAGAAAGCACAGCCAAGUGAUUCAAAAGGAGUUCCAGCCUGUCAUUUGACUACACAUGCUUAUACAUUUCGAAUUUCCUUGUUGCUCUCUCUAUUAAUACUUGUAAACCUCAUCAGUUAUUAAUUAAUGGAGUUUUGAGUCUCUCUCUCUCUUGUUCUUAAUCUCCAAUCUCUUUAAGUCUCAGAUUAAACUUAAUCACUCUUUAAAUCACAAAAUCUAAUAUGGUAUCAGAGCCAGGUUCCUUUAAAAGGAAAGAGAUCUUAUCCUAGCUAGACUGAACCUGGACGUUUUUGUGUAUCUCUUAUCUAUAUAUGUUGUAAACUCUCUCAUUAAUCAAUCUAAUGGAGUUUUGAGUCUCUCUCUCUCUUGUUCUUAAUCUCCAAUCUCUUUAAUUCUCAGAUUAAACUUAAUCACUCUUUAAAUCACAAAAUCUAAUAUGGUAUCAGAGCCAGGUUCCUUUAAAAGGAGAGAGUGAUUUCGUUUUUCCAAAUGUUCUUGAGUGUUCUUGAGUGUUCUUGAGAGUUCUUGAGAUUUUUUCAAGAGCUAGAUCCUUUAAAAGUCAAGUUUGUGUCUGUUGGGGUUUCUUUUGGAGAGUCAGCUUCAAGGGAGUCCCUUUAGGUGUUUGACAAGGUCAGAAGAGGUGUCUAGCUUGUGGUUAAGCUUGGCGUGAGAG
rnacentral:lncRNA from 1 species